rnacentral:lncRNA from 1 species
GAGCACCAGCAUCCACAGCUGCUUGAGGAGGAAACAUCAACAGGGGACAGAAAGACUUCUAUUCACCAAAACAAUGUAAGCAAAAAUACUACACGUUUAAUAAAAAAUAAUAUGGAGACAUUACGCUAUACUAAUGCCUGUAAAAUGUCAGACAGGAGUGCCAGCAUCCACUGAUGGAGGAGGAGGAUGAAGAAGAUGGAGGACAUUAGCACCAGCUAUCCACAGCUGCCUGAGGAGGAAACAUCAACAGAAAGCAAAACAAUCAAAACAAUUAAUGUAAGUAAAGCCUCUCAUUGGCACAGAAAGACACUGAACUAAUGUUUAAUGUAAAAAUAGAGGUGACUUUAUACUAAUGCCUGUAAAAUGUUGGACUGGAACAACGGCAUCUACUGAUGGAGGAGGAGGAUGAAGAUGGAGGACAGGAGCACCAGUAUCCACAGCAUCCUGAGGAGGAAACAUCAACAGAGGACAGAGACUUCUAUUCACCAAAACAAUACAGGAGCACCAGCAUCCACAGCAUCCUGAGGAGGAAACAUUACCAGAGGACAGAAAGACUUCUAUUCACCAAAACAAUCAAUAGUUUUGCUUCAGAGGAGAAUCCGACAGUUCCAGAUGUUCGUCACCAGCACUGCAGUGUUUACACAGACUGCUUUGGUUUCAACUUUCUACAAAAAACUGUUGAAUUUUCAACUCACUUUCCAUCUGAAUCCAAGCUCAUCUUCAUCACUGGGAUGUUUCUUCAUCAGUUCUUCGUACAGACUGACACAGCUCACACAUGGAGAAGAUGAUUUAUGGAAUAUGACAUUUAGAUUUUUCCUUUUCUCAACAGUAUGAUGCAUACAUCCCAACCCAAAUUUCAUGCAUUUUUUUGGCUUAACUUGAGCCAAUUUCCAUCAAUAAAUUGCUAAUGUAUUAUUAUUAUUGACUAUUA